rnacentral:rRNA from 1 species
GAUGAACGCUGGCGGCGUGCUUAACACAUGCAAGUCGAACGGAAAGGCCCUGCCUUUGAGGGGUGCUCGAGUGGCGAACGGGUGAGUAACACGUGAGUAACCUGCCCUUGACUUUGGGAUAACCCUGGGAAACUGGGGCUAAUACCGGAUAGGAGCACAUGCUGGAUGGUGGGGGGUGGAGUUUUUCGGUGGGGGGUGAACGCGCGGCUUAUCAGCAUGUUGGUGGUGGGGUGGUGUACCAAGGCGGCGACGGGUAGCCGGCCUGAGGGGGUGACGCGCCACUGUGGGACUGAGAUGCCGCCCAGACUCCUGCGGGGCAGAACAGGGGAGUAUUGUGCACUGUGGGCGAAACCCAUAUGCAGCAGCGCCGUGGGCGGUGAGACGGCCUGCGGUGUGUAAUCCUCUUGCGCCUGUGACGGAGCUUUUGUGACGGUAAUGGGUAAAGAAGCACCGGCUAACUACGUG